rnacentral:rRNA from 1 species
UACGUAGGGCGCAAGCGUUGUCCGGAAUUAUUGGGCGUAAAGAGCUCGUAGGCGGUCUGUCGCGUCGGAUGUGAAAGCCCGGGGCUUAACCCCGGGUCUGCAUUCGAUACGGGCAGACUAGAGUGUGGUAGGGGAGAUCGGAAUUCCUGGUGUAGCGGUGAAAUGCGCAGAUAUCAGGAGGAACACCGGUGGCGAAGGCGGAUCUCUGGGCCGGUACUGACGCUGAGGAGCGAAAGCGUGGGGAGCAAACAGG